GGAGAUGCAACGUACAUUGAAAAAAUUGAAAACUUUUAUCCCCGUUUUAAAUUUUUAAAGAAUCAGUCGUCCGACUCGUAUGACCUGCUGAUCAUAAACGUCACUGAUUCUGAUGAAGGACUUUAUUACUGUGGAACAACUGAACGAAAGGUGGAGAAAGAAAAAAAUGGAAAUAUUUUCUCUAAAGACGUCUACGUCUAUGGAAACAUCAGCACAAGGAUCAAACUCUAUGCAGGGUCUGGUUUCCUGCAUCAGAACAUUUCCAGGCCAGUGGAGGAGUGCGGUUUGUGCUGGAAGCUGCUGUUCUCUGUCUGUCCUGCUGUUUCUCUGCUCUCAGCUCUCUUCUCCUCACUGCUGGUCUACCUGCUUUGCCUGAAGAAAGCAAACAAUGAAGCUGAAAAUAAGAGAUGUGACAUUUCAAGACAAACAGAAGGAGCUCAGG